rnacentral:rRNA from 1 species
GCCUCUUGGACUGGGACAACUGUUGGAAACGACAGCUAAUACCGGAUAUUAUGAGAUUCUCGCAUGAGAAAUUUAUGAAAGCUAUAUGCGCCAAGAGAGAGCCUUGCGUUCCAUUAGCUAGUUGGUGGGGUAACGGCCCACCAAGGCGACGAUGGAUAGCCGGCCUGAGAGGGUGAACGGCCACAAGGGGACUGAGACACGGCCCUUACUCCUACGGGAGGCAGCAGUGGGGAAUAUUGGACAAUGGGCCACAAGCCUGAUCCAGCAAUUCUGUGUGCACGAUGAAGGUCUUCGGAUUGUAAAGUGCUUUCAGUUGGGAAGAAGAAAGUGACGGUACCAACAGAAGAAGCGACGGCUAAAUACGUGCCAGCAGCCGCGGUAAUACGUAUGUCGCAAGCGUUAUCCGGAUUUAUUGGGCGUAAAGCGCGUCUAGGCGGAAAAAUAAGUCUGAUGUUAAAAUGCGGGGCUCAACUCCGUAUUGCGUUGGAAACUGUUUUUCUAGAGUACUGGAGAGGUGGGCGGAACUACAAGUGUAGAGGUGAAAUUCGUAGAUAUUUGUAGGAAUGCCGAUGGAGAAGUCAGCUCACUGGACAGAUACUGACGCUGAAGCGCGAAAGCGUGGGGAGCAAAC